UAUCCGGAAUUAUUGGGCGUAAAGGGCUCGUAGGCGGUUCGUCGCGUCCGGUGUGAAAGUCCAUCGCUUAACGGUGGAUCCGCGCCGGGUACGGGCGGGCUUGAGUGCGGUAGGGGAGACUGGAAUUCCCGGUGUAACGGUGGAAUGUGUAGAUAUCGGGAAGAACACCAAUGGCGAAGGCAGGUCUCUGGGCCGUUACUGACGCUGAGGAGCGAAAGCGUGGGGAGCGAACAGGAUUAGAUACCCUGGUAGUCCACGCCGUAAACGGUGGAUGCUGGAUGUGGGGCCCGUUCCACGGGUUCCGUGUCGGAGCUAACGCGUUAAGCAUCCCGCCUGGGGAGUACGGCCGCAAGCUAAAACUCAAAGAAAUUGACGGGGGCCCGCACAAGCGGCAGAACAUGCGGAUUAAUUCGAUGCAACGCAAGAACCUUACCUGGGCUUGACAUGUUCCC
rnacentral:rRNA from 1 species